rnacentral:rRNA from 1 species
GAUGAACGCUGGCGGCGUGCUUAACACAUGCAAGUCGAGCGAAGCACUUUACUUUGAAUUCUUCGGAAUGAAGAGUGAUUUGACUGAGCGGCGGACGGGUGAGUAACGCGUGGGCAACCUGCCUCAUACAGGGGGAUAACAGUUAGAAAUGGCUGCUAAUACCGCAUAAGCGCACAGCAUCGCAUGAUGCCGUGUGAAAAAACUCCGGUGGUAUGAGAUGGACCCCGCGUCUGAUUAGGUAGUUGGCGGGUAACGGCCCAC